GGGGGCGACCUGGCUUCGACGUGGGUCAAGAAGCAGCAUGGUGCAUACCGAGGACCAGUCACCUCGUAAAACCACUGGAAAAUCAUACUCGCCAACGACGAGCAAUUCGCUCUGGCCGCUUAAGGCCUAAGCCGCUGCACUGAUUGGUCUCUGGGUCAGGUGGGGUAAAACCCGCAGCAGCGUCAUUUACAGGGACUCGUGCCGUUCCGGGUUACUUGGGACGGAGCUAAAACCAAGGUGACUCGCCCUGGGUCGGCCUGCCGACCGGCUAAGCUCAGGGUUAAAUUCAAAUAGACCGGCUAAGUAUGUAGAGCCAGUUGUGGAAGUCUUGCGGACGGGGGUUCGAUUCCCCCCGCCUCCACCA
rnacentral:tmRNA from 1 species